rnacentral:lncRNA from 1 species
GAGAGAGGCAGAGAGAGAGAGGCAGAGACACAGGCAGAGAGAGAGAGAGAGACACAGGCAGAGAGCGAGAGAGAGACACAGGCAGAGAGAGAGACAGAGGCAGAGAGAGAGAGAGAGAGAGAGAGACAGGCAGAGAGAGAGAGAGAGAGACACAGGCAGAGAGAGAGAGACAGGCAGAGAGAGAGAGAGAGAGACAGGCAGAGAGAGAGAGAGAGAGACAGGCAGAGAGAGAGAGAGAGACAGGCAGAGAGAGAGAGAGAGACAGGCAGAGAGAGAGAGACAGGCAGAGAGAGAGGCAGGCAGAGAGAGAGAGAGAGGCAGGCAGAGAGAGAGAGAGGCAGGCAGAGAGAGAGAGAGAGGCAGGCAGAGAGAGAGAGAGAGGCAGGCAGAGAGAGAGACAGGCAGAGAGACAGAGAGAGACAGAGACAGGCAGAGAGAGAGAGACAGGCAGAGAGAGCAAGAGAGAGACAGGCAGAGAGAGAGAGACAGAGAGAGCGAGAGA